AUCUUUUCAUGCCUCAACGAUGGAGUUCUGCUGGCUGAGCUCAUAGCAGCAUCUGCAGUGGAAACAGUUAAUAUUUGUGUUUAAAAAAAAAAAAACAACACAUGAACAUGAGACUAAGGUAGAACGUUUAAAAAUAACUGUUCUUGAUGUUGCUACAGAGACCUUUAUUAUAGCCAUAGUACGUGAUGUGCAUUGAUUACAUUCCACAUAAGUAGCGUUUUCUCGCUCAGACUAGUAGGAACUGACAGUACUCCCACUUGUAUGAGACAGUAUGAAGAAGCAUGCAGGCUGUGGCAGAAAGGAGGUGUGCUUGGCUUUUCAACUCUUAAAAACUAAAAUCAAUACAGGCACAGGAAGUCGGUUGUAAAACCCUGUUACCAGGGAGGAACGGAAACAAGACGGUGAAUUAACGUUUCUAUUUGCUGUUCCCUUGCCUGCUGCCAAUGCAAAGCAAACCAACCUACUGCUCUGGACGAGUUCAUCCCUAAAGUGUGCAUCAGCUCUUCAGACGUUGAGCCCUUCCACAAAUUCGAAAUUGUUUUUAAUGCAGUUUACUGAGGCUUCUUGUGUCAGCCAAGGGCUGAUUUGGAAUAAUUGAGGAAGAGAGCCAAGCAUUAAAAAAAAAAUUAAAAUCUGAGGUUGUGGCACAUCUGAGACAUAUUGAUCAUCAUGUAAUUAAACUUGAAAUGUAUUAGGGGAAGUAGCUAAAACAAUCCUCAGCUCUAAGAGAGCUGACGUGGGAACAGGUAAGAGGGCCUUGGGGAGGCUGCCUUAUGAGGGAUGGCAAAACUAUUUCAGAAAAUGUACAGGAAAGUUGCAUGAGAGAGUGCUAAAUGACAAAUGUGGUAACAAUAAUCCCAAACUUUUCACUUUCUGAAGAUUAAGAGAGCUAUCAUUUACAUGAAAACCAGAAGCCAGGGAAGCAGAUGCAGCACGAAGGAGCAUACGUGUGACAAAUCUCACUUGUGUCUGAAUUAAAGAGCAGUUCCUGGACUUAAAAUGCAAUGGCAGGCUGCAAAUAAAGGAAAUCUUCCAUUUGCCUUGGAUACUGGUAAUAUAAAAAGACUGAAUUUGUUACAUCUACAUUUAAAAUGACUUUUUUUUUUUUUUUCAUUUUAAAUCUUGGAUAAGCUAUCUCAGAGCUACAGUUCCUAAGAGGAGGAUCUUGUUUCAUGACAUAAUAAAAGCCAGGGUCUGGUGAGAUAGCAACAGAAUCCCUAAUUAAGAGACAGGAUACUCUAAGCUUGAACAUGAGCCUCUUGAAGUAAGUAUCCAAAGCACCUUUACAUCCAAAAUGUUAAGCUCUUGAUUAAACAAGUAUAAAGUACUUUUGAUGAUAAUUAAAGAUGAGCUUCAGUCAAAAUAUUGGCUUUGUGUUAGGGCCAAACUAAACCUUGGCAUUUGAACCCUCAUUAUCAUUUGUUUUGACACAUUCUGAUCAGAACUAUUUGGGCCCUAUUAAUAACCAUCUCAAGUGCUUUACUUGUUGCAGCAAAGAUGGCACAAUCAGUCAAAGUAUCCCUGGUAUCCCUCAAAUUCUCAGUCAUCCUCAUUAAAAAUAGCUAGCAGUUGGUGAAGUGGGGAGCAGAGGAAUAUCGCCCAUCUGAACUGUACUUGAGGGACCUGGAAAUGAAUACUGAUGCAGAAGAGAGAUGGACGACAGAUCAGAUGGAAAGAAGCCUUCGUGUGGGGAGCAGUGGGAGGUGGGGGUGAGCUCUUUCUAUAUUGCAAUCUGCUUCUUCAAAGGGCAGAAGAAACACUGGGGGGAAAAGAAGACAAUCUAGGUGGCAUCAAAGAAAGUCUGACAUGCUUUAAAGCUUCAGUGUUUUUAAUGAGGUUCACUCCAGUAAAAUGAAGAACCACCUAAUAAGUAGGCGACCUUGUGCUUGGCAGAGUUCAAAGCCAGAAGUGCAGGCAGUCCUAAUCACUGUAUUUCUUUUUGUUCUUCUCACGGAUCUUCAGAACCAGACCAGACAGCUGUAGUGCUCUCUCGAUGGUAGAACCCUCAGGACAGUUGAAAGGAAGGGAUGUACCACAGCAAUCUGUCAUCAGUGCAACUUCCAGCAAUCUUUGUAGCUAACAGAUCACAGUGGAUUUUCUUUCUCCUCAUGAAUUUACCUAAUCACUUUCUAAAUCCUGUUUCAUGCAGUACUGUGAGAAUGAUAAUCUAAUUUUGGUCUCUAAGACAUGAAAUACAAAAACAAUAGGAGGCCCAGGAAAGAAUGAAGCCAUUUUGCCAACAGAUAUUACAAAAACAUGCAACAAUUAUAGCACAUUGACGAAGAAAAUUACUAAAACCGCUAAUUACAAAAUAACCCAGCAUUUCCUGCUGUGAAAAUGAAUUUGUUAUUUAGACCACUUCACUGUUUUUGAUAAAUCACCACCUGUAAUUGCUUUUCUAAGCUCGUGAUAGGGGUAUUUCUCUAUUUGGUGCCAUGAUGUCAAAUUGAAAGAGUACCUUUUCGACUGGUCGCAUUGUCUAGGGUUAAAUAGAAAACCUUUCCAAACUCUUCUUCACUCCAAGAUUUUUGUAUCAGUCAUGGAUGAGAAGAAAAAAGACAAAUGUCACCACUCUUUGCCUAGCUGUGAGAAAUUCACUGCCUGUGAAGUUAUGCUACUUGUUCUCUGCUACAAUACUAACUUUCAUGUAUUUUGCAAUCCCUGUCUAUCUCUGUUGUAAUUUCUUGCAAAGUGUUGAAAAUGUAAAGCUCUACACUCACAA